AAGUAUGCUAAUCCUUCAUGCUAGAAUGUCCAGUCAAUUUCUUUGUUCAUGAAUCAUGAUAAGAGGUUCACAAUCUAACAAUUUAGUUCAUGCAUAGGUACUCAACGUUCAUAAAUUGGGAGCUAUGGUGGCCACAAUUUCCUAUCUUGGUUUACUUCAAAGAGAGCCAAACAAAACCUGAGGGGCAGAUCCACUUCUUCCCAGUGAUAUUCGUAAGUUCACGAAUUUAGCCCCAAGUCAAACAAGUUUGUUUCUCGAUAUCCCAGCAUUCAACCCAAUGUUUUGAGCAGAAUGGCCGACAACUCUAUGAUGUCAUGGUGGAGCGUGCUGGACCCUCAAAGACGAGCGGCCCUAAGUAGAAGUAGUGCUGAUCUUCCCUCAAGAUGAUGAGCUGAGUUCCAUGGCGUGCUGCUGUGGCACCAGUUGACGCUCCAGGAAGCAAAGGCUCCGUGCCUUUUUCGACCUACCUGAUGUGUGGUCCUAUGCAUUACCUUCGAGAUAAAAUGAAGGAUGAAUGGAUGAUGUAUUAGCUGUAGAUAUAUUAGAAACUGAUGUAAUGCAACAUCAGCUACUCAUCUGAGGCAAUACAUUGGUGUGU
rnacentral:lncRNA from 1 species